UUGUUGCAUAAUAUUACAUUUUGUUACGAGUGAUAAAAAGUUGGAUUUUUCGAUACUAGUCGUAAGCUUGUCCUAACGAGGCGGAGCCGAGAAGGACAAGCUUACGACGUAUACCGAAAAAUGCAGCUUUCAUCACGAGUCACAAACGACGAUUUUUGUGCUUGAAAACUGAAAUGAGACGAAACCACAGCACCAUUAACAUAGAAAUCACUCUACAGCCAUUUCAACAACAAAGCAUGCUCACUUGAUCGCGGCCGGAAAAAUAUAUAUGAAAAUCCAUUUUCGGCCGGAGAGAACGUCCGAGAAAGUACUUUCUUGGUCGCAAAUACCUCUCUCUGAGAAGUACAGAAGAAUUGAACUUUUCGAUUGUAGAAUGCAUGUCGAAAU